UGAAUUGUUGGAAGAAAUGGUCGCAUGGGAAUGUAGGAAUGAUCUACCUGCUCGAUUUGUGUCUGCAACGCUUCAUGUUGAUAAGUCCCUCAAAAUGGCGGCCAAACUUGGAGAUUGCC